UAGGGAAUCUUCGGCAAUGGACGAAAGUCUGACCGAGCAACGCCGCGUGAGUGAAGAAGGUUUUCGGAUCGUAAAACUCUGUUGUUAGAGAAGAACAAGGACGUUAGUAACUGAACGUCCCCUGACGGUAUCUAACCAGAAAGCCACGGCUAACUACGUGCCAGCAGCCGCGGUCAUACGUAGGUGGCAAGCGUUGUCCGGAUUUAUUGGGUGUAAAGCGAGCGAAGGCGGUUUCUUAAGUCUGAUGUGAAAGCCCCCGGCUCAACCGGGGAGGGUCAUUGGAACCUGGGAGACUUGAGUUCAGAAGAGGAUAGUGGAAUUCCAUGUGUAGCGGUGACAUGCGUAGAUAUAUGGAGGAACACCAGUGGCGAAGGCGGCUCUCUGGUCUGUAACUGACGCUGAGGCUCGAAAGCGUGGGGAGCAAACAGG
rnacentral:rRNA from 1 species